AACGAACGCUGGCGGUAUGCCUAACACAUGCAAGUCGAACGAGACCUUCGGGUCUAGUGGCGCACGGGUGCGUAACGCGUGGGAACCUGCCCUUAGGUUCGGAAUAACUCCCCGAAAGGGGUGCUAAUACCGGAUAAUGUCUUCGGACCAAAGAUUUAUCGCCUUUGGAUGGGCCCGCGUUGGAUUAGCUAGUUGGUAGGGUAAAAGCCUACCAAGGCGACGAUCCAUAGCUGGUCUGAGAGGAUGAUCAGCCACACUGGGACUGCGACACGGCCCAGACUCCUACGGGAGGCAGCAGUAGGGAAUAUUAGACGAUGGGCGAAAGCCUGAUCCAGCAAUGCCGCGUGAGUGAUGAAGGCCUUAGGGUUGUAAAGCUCUUUUACCCGGGAUGAUAAUGACAGUACCGGGAGAAUAAGCUCCGGCUAACUCCGUG
rnacentral:rRNA from 1 species